GUAAGGAAUAUUGGUCAAUGGAGGCAACUCUGAACCAGCCAUGCCGCGUGCAGGAAGACGGCCCUCUGGGUUGUAAACUGCUUUUAUCCGGGAAUAAACCUGCCUUCGUGAAGGUAGCUGAAUGUACCGGAAGAAUAAGGAUCGGCUAACUCCGUGCCAGCAGCCGCGGUAAUACGGAGGAUCCAAGCGUUAUCCGGAUUUAUUGGGUUUAAAGGGUGCGUAGGCGGCCUGUUAAGUCAGGGGUGAAAGACGGUGGCUCAACCAUCGCAGUGCCCUUGAUACUGAUGGGCUUGAAUGGACUAGAGGUAGGCGGAAUGUGACAAGUAGCGGUGAAAUGCAUAGAUAUGUCACAGAACACCGAUUGCGAAGGCAGCUUACUAUGGUCCUAUUGACGCUGAGGCACGAAAGCGUGGGGAUCGAACAGGAUUAGAAACCCGUGUAGUCC
rnacentral:rRNA from 1 species